rnacentral:tRNA from 1 species
GGGCGGUUAGCUCAGUUGGUUAGAGCGCAGCGUUGACAUCGCUGAGGUCACUGGUUCGAAUCCAGUACCGCCCACCA